AACUGGAGGCAAGCACCAAACAACACCCAACAGGAGCUGCUCAGCCCAGAGAACGGCAGAACCUUGGAGGCUUCUGAAUCAUGAAGGAGGGAAGCUGGAAGAAGACAUUCCAGGCUUGAGUGUGGCCAAAGGCGGAUCUUUCCCAAUACAGAUUGCACGGCAGCAAAACACACGUUCUGACUUCUAAGAAGAACAGGUACAAAAUGAAGGGCAGUUGAGGCAGGAAGCAGCAGAGAUGCUGACCUGCCAAGAGAGGACACUUAGUAUGAGCUUCCACCAAGGCCACCACAUGACGAAUGGCUGCAACUCACUCUCACAUGGCUGAUGACCGCGGCUGACUCCCACAUUUCCUCCAGUCAGGGAGGGGACCCACUGUGCCAUUUUCCCGUAAGCAACGUCUCUGUGCAUCAAAUGUUCAUCAGAUGGAAAAGAGAUUGGCUAGACCUCAUCAUGUGUCUGCAGAACACAGAGCAAAGGGCCUUCAAUUCUGCUAGGCUCCAGUCUAGUAAAGAUCUCGUGGGACAUUCUUCACAUAAGAGAGGUGUGACUCCUGCUUUGGCCACUGUCGUCUCCUCACUCCAUCUUCAAACUUUCUCCCCCUUUACUAUCAGCCUCACUCCCAAGGGUCCAAUAACUAGUCCCUACUUGGGCCUCGGUGCUGAAACCUGUACAGAGAUCAUAGAAACAGUAUUACAGCCAAUGUUAAUUUUCUUGCUCCCAGUGAGAUACCAGCCUUUCUUCCACUAAAUUGCUUCACUAUAUUGUACUUGAGACAUGAAAGGGUUGUCUUUGGUCAAAUUUUCAUCCAAAGCAAAAAUAAACUAAUGAGGACCUACUGUAUAGCACAGGGAACUCUACUCAAUACUCUGUAAUGGCCUAUAUGGGGAAAGAAUCUAAAA